rnacentral:rRNA from 1 species
CCCUUAGAUGUUCUGGGCCGCACGCGCGCUACACUGAUGCAUUCAACGAGUCUAAAACCUGCUCUGAUAGGGGUGGGUAAUCUUUUGAAUGUGCAUCGUGAUUGGGAUAGAUGAUUGCAAUUUUUCAUCUUCAACGAGGAAUGCCUAGUAAACGCAAGUCAUCAGCUUGCAUUGAUUACGUCCCUGCCCUUUGUACACACCGCCCGUCGCUCCUACCGAUUGAAUGAUCCGAUGAAUAUCAUGGAUUGAGGAUGCAAGUAGGUUAGCCUAUAUUCAUCUUCGAGAAGUGAAGUAAAUCUUAUCAUUUAGAGGAAGGAGAAGUCGUAACA